CUACGGGAGGCUGCAGUGGGGAAUAUUGCACAAUGGAGGAAACUCUGAUGCAGCAACGCCGCGUGGAGGAUGACACUUUUCGGAGCGUAAACUCCUUUUAUAUAGGAAGAAGAUGACGGUACUAUAUGAAUAAGCGCCGGCUAACUCCGUGCCAGCAGCCGCGGUAAUACGGAGGGCGCAAGCGUUACUCGGAAUCACUGGGCGUAAAGAGCGUGUAGGCGGAUUAAAAAGUCAGAAGUGAAAUCCUAUAGCUUAACUAUAGAACUGCUUCUGAAACUCUUAAUCUAGAAUAUGGGAGAGGUAGAUGGAAUUUCUGGUGUAGGGGUAACGUCCGUAGAGAUCAGAAGGAAUACCGAUUGCGAAGGCGAUCUACUAGAACAUUAUUGACGCUGAGACGCGAAAGCGUGGGGAGCAAACAGGAUUAGAUACCCCAGUAGUC
rnacentral:rRNA from 1 species